rnacentral:rRNA from 1 species
GACGAACGCUGGCGGCGUACUUAACACAUGCAAGUCGAACGGAAAGGCCCCGCUUUUGUGGGGUGCUCGAGUGGCGAACGGGUGAGUAACACGUGAGUAACCUGCCCUUGACUUUGGGAUAACUUCAGGAAACUGGGGCUAAUACCGGAUAGGAGCUCCUGCUGCAUGGUGGGGGUUGGAAAGUUUCGGCGGUUGGGGAUGGACUCGCGGCUUAUCAGCUUGUUGGUGGGGUAGUGGCUUACCAAGGCUUUGACGGGUAGCCGGCCUGAGAGGGUGACCGGCCACAUUGGGACUGAGAUACGGCCCAGACUCCUACGGGAGGCAGCAGUGGGGAAUAUUGCACAAUGGGCGGAAGCCUGAUGCAGCAACGCCGCGUGCGGGAUGACGGCCUUCGGGUUGUAAACCGCUUUCGCCUGUGACGAAGCGUGAGUGACGGUAAUGGGUAAAGAAGCACCGGCUAACUACGUG